ensembl:snRNA U6 U6 spliceosomal RNA
UUGCUUCAGGCAGCACAUAUACUAAAUUUAGAGUGAGACAAGAUUAGAAUGUCCCCUGCAUGCGGAUGACACACAAAUUCAUGAAGCUUUGCGUACUCUC